AUCAGCCUGCUGCAUGGUUGGUCUGAUCUGUGAUGGCAGCGUUGGUCACUGAAACAGAAGCCUGGUGUGGACAUCCAUGCAACGAUCGUCAGACUGUCCUCCGAACCAAACCUCAGCUGCAUCCCAAGUAGUAUCUUCGAUGCGGGCAAAUCAUUAAGGGAUUCCAUUUUGGCUCUUUUUAACCCUCAAAGUUGUAGAUCCAUGAAGUGAGUGCAAAACUAAAUAACAAAUUAAAUCUUUAGCCAGAAGGAAAGCAAACACUCUUCUCCCUAGAAACUUGGGAAGUGUCAUGCCCACUUAGCAAGCCUUUUACAAUGAGUGCCCCCCACUGGGGUAGUGGGGUUCAGCAGUCAGCCACAUUGAAAAUUUGGGUAACUGGAGCCAAGAAUUCUCAACAUAGCCAGGAAAUGCAAAGACCUACUUCUCCCAGAAACGAGGCCUGGUGCUGCCCACGAGAUCCCGAGGAUCCCACCCUUCUGAGUCGUCUUCUCUCCUCUGUAUGUGGCCAGUGUGGGCAGGCAGGGGCCCCGGGCGGACAGAUGUCCCCAAAGGUAUUAACUAAGAGACCUGGAUUCCGACCCCAACAGCUCAGGAGAAAUCAAUCACAACUGGCAGGUCUUAUGAUUUCCUGGACGUUCUGUGGAGCCAGUAGCCCCUGUUCGACCCGGCGUUCCUGGAAGGGGUGA
rnacentral:lncRNA from 1 species